rnacentral:misc_RNA from 1 species
UCCGGUUUGUCACCGGCAGUCUCACUAGAGUGCCCUUUCGUAGCAACUAGUGACAAGGGUUGCGCUCGUUGCGGGACUUAACCCAACAUCUCACGACACGAGCUGACGACAGCCAUGCAGCACCUGUGUCCAGGUUCCCUUUCGGGCACCCCUCUCUCUCAAGAGGGUCCCUGGCAUGUCAAGGGUAGGUAAGGUUCUUCGCGUUGCAUCGAAUUAAUCCACAUCAUCCACCGCUUGUGCGGGUCCCCGUCAAUUCCUUUGAGUUUUAGCCUUGCGGCCGUACUCCCCAGGCGGGGCACUUAAUGCGUUAGCUACGGCACGGAACCCGUCGAUAGAGCCCCACACCUAGUGCCCAACGUUUACGGCGUGGACUAC